CGAGGAAUCUUGGGCAAUGGGCGCAAGCCUGACCCAGCGACGCCGCGUGGAGGAUGAAGGCCCUCGGGUCGUAAACUCCUUUUGGAUGGGACGAAGCUCUGACGGUACCAUCCGAAUCAGCCCCGGCUAACUACGUGCCAGCAGCCGCGGUAAUACGUAGGGGGCGAGCGUUGUCCGGAUUUAUUGGGCGUAAAGGGCGCGCAGGCGGUUCAUUAAGUCUGGUGUGAAAGCUCCCGGCUCACCUGGGAGAGGGCACUGGAGACUGGUGGACUGGAGCGAGGCAGAGGCCGGUGGAAUUCCCGGUGUAGUGGUGAAAUGCGUAGAGAUCGGGAGGAACACCAGUGGCGAAGGCGGCCGGCUGGGCCUUGACUGACGCUGAGGCGCGAAAGCGUGGGGAGCGAACCG
rnacentral:rRNA from 1 species